GUUCUCGAAAAAAAAUUACCACGGAAAUUUUACUUGUCCCCGGACAAGUCAGCUUUCAAAAACUGCUUGUCCGGAAGGGGAAGUUGACGACUCGGACAACUCGGACAGCAUAUUUCAGAACCCCUGAACCGUUGACCUCCUAAAAGUCCAGUUGAAUCUGCUCUUAAAGCACGGCACGGCAGAGUGCCCACUCAUGGUCAUCUUGGACUCGCUUGACCAGCUGGACACCUCUCACAAUGGCCGCUCUUUGAUGUGGCUCCCGGCCUCCCAGCCGCCUCACUGUAAGAUUAUCGUGUCAUCACUUCCGGAGGAGAAUUACGAGACGUUUCCGGCCCUCAAGUUAGCGGAACUUUUAUAAAGGCAACAGAAAUUAUUUCCUGACGAGGAUAGGUACAUACAGGUCCCGGAACUAGAUCAGAGGGAUGCACACAGCAUUGUGGCAUUGUGGGCGCAGAAACGGAACCGGACGUUGACUCAGACCCAGAUGGAACUCCUGCUGACCACAUUCCGGAAGUGCCCGACACUGCUGUUCUUAAAGCAAAUAACGGAAUCACCGAGGCGGAGCUUGAUGACGUGUUGUCUUGCGAUGAUGACGUAUUGAAUGACGUCUUCACCUACUGGACACCGCCCAUGCGCAGACUGCCCCCUCUACUUCUCGUGCUUAUACGGACGGACAUCGACCAAUAUAUCGUUGAGCGCGGUGCAGACGGUGCGUGCGUGUUGAACUGGUACCACCGUCAAUUUACGGAAAGUGCGCACGGGCUCUACUGCGCAGACGAAGCGAAGAACAAGCGUCUCCAUGGCAACCUAGCUGAUUUCUUCGCGGGAGCCUGGGAAAAUGGAAGAAAAAAAGCCGUACACGAACGCUAAAGGGGAGGUAAUAGAAGAGGACAUCUAUGUGACGCCACAGCCCCUUCGCUUCGGAGAGGAUGACUACAACAUCCGGGCUCUAAACAAUCUGCCCUAUCACCGCCUGCACGCGGGUCACGUUGACCUUCUCAAGAAGGAGUGUCUCGCAAACGUGCUCUUCUGCGUUUCUAAGUUACAUGCACUUCCUGUUGAGUAAUUUUUAUGGUUAAGAAAUGGCACAUCGUAUGUUAUAAUUACUCACUUAAAUUGUUACGACCUUAUCCUCUAUCAUUGGUUUUAGUUGUCGUUUACUGUCACUGUUACCACUGUAUGUACCAUUAUUGUAUGCGGACUUAGUUACCUGAUGUAAUUGUAGGCUGAUAAAAUGACUUUUUUUACCUGUUUAAAUACACGUUACAGUGAGACUGCACGAUUUUGUCAAAUAGUUAUGAAUUGAUAGAAAAUGUGUAAAAAAACUUAUUAUACAUAUAUUUCAAUAUAAAUUGAAUAAAAGUUAAGAAGAACAUGUAUCGAAAAAUGCGAAAUAAGCCAGAUAUUUAAUUCUGAAAUGGAAAAUGUAUGUACGGUCGAAUUCGCCAGCAUGUAUAUCAUGCAUGUACGAUGUGAAUCUAAAUUUAGUUUUAGUGCAGAUUCGUUCAUGCGACCCAAAGACACAAGGUUGUUUUACGGAUCAUUUUAAUUUCCUGCAACGAUAUCUAUUCAUACGGCACACGUACACUAACUCCAGAUCCUAAUAAAAAGACGAAUGCUUCGGUUAUUGUAGGAAAAUAUGUACGAAAAUUCUUCGUCACAAUCGGCUCGGGGCGCUAAUUUGUGUUUGCUGCAUUUUAUGAAAUUCGUCUUCAAUGUAUAAUUUUUCUUGCCUAUUUUGUGUUAUUUUAACAUAUUGUUAUCAAUAUAUUUCAAUUUAACACAUAAAAAUCGUGCAGUCUCACUUAAAUUUAGAUUGUUUGAGUUUCUUAUGUGAACAUUAUAUAUAGCUCUUAACAAAUAAGUAAGUAAACUUUGCUCGGUAACAUUUUUAGCUUUUCGUUAAAAAAUAUCCGAAAAUAAUAGUAUAUGUUUUAACUGUCAAAAUAAACAAAAACACUGUGUCUUGUAUUAACACUGGAACAUGAGCCAAACACGUCUUAAAAGUAUGUAAUUCACGCAUGUUUCUCGCGGCUCUCCCAGGGCGCUCUUAGACGACUUCACGGCGGCCAAAGCGGCGUUCCAGGGGUAUUCCCUGCUCAAGAACAUCCUGGAUGCGCUUCUGCUCUCCCGGACGGGACUUCAAACGGAUCCGGUUCAGUUCGUGCCACAGCUACUCGGGCGCCUGGAGGACAAUGAGUCUGCGAGGAGGAGGAGGAGAUCAAAAUCUGGAACAUCAAGGUCGACCCUCCACGGUUGCUACGCAAUGUGACGGGUAAAGCUCAGUGCAGAAAGGUCGCAUUGUGUCAUGGUGACGAGUGGAUCGCCAUGAAAUUGGGAACGGAAUAAAAGUAGAAUUUCUGCACACAGGACGUGUUCCACUGGGCCACCAGGAUGCGUUGUUUGUGACCGGCAGUGCGGGAGAGGACUCGCCGAACAUAGUCGGCGUGUAUAAUGUCGGCAGACUGGAAACAUUAUGUCGUUCAGAAUAUUGCAUCAUGAACAUGUCAUUUAAAUUCAUUA